rnacentral:rRNA from 1 species
GAUGAACGCUGGCGGCGUGCCUAAUACAUGCAAGUCGAGCGAACGGACGAGAAGCUUGCUUUUCUGAUGUUAGCGGCGGACGGGUGAGUAACACGUGGAUAACCUACCUAUAAGACUGGGAUAACUUCGGGAAACCGGAGCUAAUACCGGAUAAUAUUUUGAACCGCAUGGUUCAAAAGUGAAAGACGGUCUUGCUGUCACUUAUAGAUGGAUCCGCGCUGCAUUAGCUAGUUGGUAAGGUAACGGCUUACCAAGGCAACGAUGCAUGGCCGACCUGAGAGGGUGAUCGGCCACACUGGACCUGAGACACGUUCCAGACUCCUACGGGAGGCAGCAGUAGGGAAUCUUCCGCAAUGGGCGAACGCCUGACGGAGCAACGCCGCGUGAGUGAUGAAGGUCUUCGGAUCGUAAAACUCUGUUAUUAGGGAAGAACAUAUGUGUAAGUAACUGUGCACAUCUUGACGGUACCUAAUCAGAAAGCCACGGCUAACUACGUG